rnacentral:rRNA from 1 species
AUACGGAGGGUGCAAGCGUUAUUCGGAAUCACUGGGCGUAAAGGACGCGUAGGCGGGUUGGCAAGUCAGAUGUGAAAUCCUACAGCUUAACUGUAGAACUGCAUUUGAAACUGCUAACCUAGAGUAUGGGAGGGGGAGAUGGAAUUAGUGGUGUAGGGGUAAAAUCCGUAGAUAUCACUAGGAAUACCGAAAGCGAAGGCGAUCUCCUGGAACAUAACUGACGCUAAGGCGUGAAAGCGUGGGGAGCAAACGGGAUUAGAAACCCCGGUAGUCAC